rnacentral:lncRNA from 1 species
AAAACACAUUGGAUCUGGAGUCCAGGCUCUUGAAAACAUUGACAAGAAAAUGGACUCUUGAUUCAAUCAGAUUUAAGCUUAAAUCAAAAGAGAAUCCGCUCAAAUUAAGAGGCUUGGUUCUUGAUUUAAGCUUAAAUCUGAUUGAAUCAAGAGUAUUUUUUCUUGUCGAUGUUUCUGAGAGUCUGGACUCUGGAUCCAAUGUGUUUUUUUUCCAGUGUAGAGAUAAAACUCUCAGUCGCGUAAUCGGCGUGAUCCGUGACGGUCGUUCCUGCGCUCGUCUGCUCUCUCUAAUCUCAACUCCUAUCUAAUCUAGUACUGAGUGUAUCCUAAAAUCAUUGUGCCAAAUCGUGCUCCAAGCAACUUUAGGACAUGUGAUAAGUGUAUUGUGACCAACUCCCUGGUGCCCACGUCGGUGUGGCACCAUGGACAAACACGUGAUAAGGCUACAAUCAGGUGAAAUUCCUCAGCCUCACCUUGAAAACAUCACAAGUGAACAAACUUUAAAUCAAAUUCCAUCUACUAACUCUAAUUGUAUAAACUAUAAUGAGGUACUUUUAGAAGCAAACAAAGCUAUUGCUACCCUUAUACCUACAGAUAACUUAGGAAAUGACACUGUAAAAGUACUUCUUGAUUAUAAAAAUCUCACAAACAAACUAUCUAAUGCUCUUCAGAAAUCAAUUGAUGAGACAAAUAAUUUUAGACACGAACUUAUAUCAGUUAAAGCUGAUCAAGCUAAAAAAGAUGAAGAAACAGAUGCUAAAUUUAGAAUUCUGGAAGAAAAAAUUAACCUACUUCAAACUAAUCUCAACUCAAAUAUUAAUGCUAAUAAUUCCAAUAAUAGCAAUCCUAUGAACAGUGAAUCAACCUUAAAACCUACGUUAAAUGAUGAGGAGAAUAUGGACACAACUACAUUUGUAUUACCCGAUUCGGAUGAGGAAGAACGCAUAGUUGACAUUGAAACUCUGGCCUGGAAAACCAAGGUGAAAAGGAACAAAGGCGCCUCCAACCAGUCCAGGAAGGACAAACGUAAGAGGGAAGAUUCCGCAUCCCCUAACUCUAAACCUAUCACCAACAAUAAUUCUACCCCUGGUAAGAAAGUCAAAAUUAUUACCCAGCAUGAUUCAGAACCGAACAAGAAGAAACAGUCAACUUUAAUUCCUGGCUCAACACCUAAGGACGCACAAGCAGCUUUAAAGGAAAACCCGCCUCCGCCCAUUAAAAUCUGUAAUGUCGAGGAUGUCAACAAUUUACGUACUUUAAUUCAAAAUGUAAUUAAGGAUGACUCACAGUUUUCGCUGAAGGCGAUUACAACUGUGGGUACUAAAGCUGUAUGGAAAGUGAAUGUUAUGAAAGAAGAACAUUAUCGUGUAUUAACUAAAGAAUUAAAUAAAAACAAAGAAAUUUAUUGGUAUACUCACGAAAAUAAAAAUACACGUGACUUUAGAGUUAUGUGCAAAGGCAUGUCUCCUCAGACUUCGGAGGAGGAUAUUUUAGAUUCACUUAAGGGAAAAAAUUUCAAUGUUAUCAGUGUAG